GCAGCAGAGGACCCUCGCGGAGCCUAACUUUAGAGAACGCUGACUGGAUUGAACCAGGCCCUUCAGAGCGCGGACACAGAUGCACUCGAGACUCUCCAACGGGGCUCCUGGGAUAACUGCCAUUCUUCAGAACUAACGGACUCCUUUCGGCCGCUGCGGCAGACCCCAGUCAGGGCACAGGCAGGUUGGAAGGCACUGGAUACUGGCUGGGCGCUCUUGCUGCCUGUGUCUCAACAGCGGUGUGCAGCACUGGCACGAUCCCGCAUCCACCCCAAGGCUGUGGAGGAAGCAGCCUGAAGACUCCCAAGACACCUGCCUUCUCACCUCCCCCAAGGAACAGAUGCCUGGCGUCUCCGGGAUGACAGCACAUGGGAUGCCUUUCCAGCCACACUUCUUGCUGAGCGUGGACCCACCAACACCCAGCUCUCCCCUUCCCCACAUCGUCCCAUGCCCGCAGGAAGUAGCCAGACUUGAGUCAACGCCCCUUUUUCCUAAGAGAGCCUAAGUGUUAGUCAAAAUAUCACCUCAGCUUCUUGUUGCUCCUUAUACAAACAGUCUGGAAUGUAAGUCCUGGUCUCUGGCCUCCAUCUUUGGAGUCCCCAUCCCUGUGCCCGCCAAGCCUUGAAACCUCCCGGGAGCAGGGCCAAGACAGCCCACCAAAAUCUUAAACUGCUUCCCCAAAAAGUUCCCAUGUGGUCUCUUUCCUUCCCCCCCCCCCACCCUAGUGGUGGUCAUGCUUGAGGCUUCCCGGUUUCCCCUCGGGGCCACCCAAGAGCGCAGGAAUCCCAUUAAACCUGGAUAUUUAUUAA